rnacentral:lncRNA from 1 species
GGUUCAGUUUGCAUUCGGCGAACAGAGGCUACAUGAAUGUUGCAUUUAAAUAAUAUUUAUUUUAUUCACUUCAGAAAUUAUAAUUAUUUUUAUUUUAAGAUAAUAAUUAUGAUUAUUAUCAUCCAUGAUUAUUAUCUACUUUGGUUCACCAGGGACCAAAGUAGUCUUAAAUCUGUAAGAGCCAGUGCACGUGAUUUCUUAACCGUAUUUUCGUUUCUGUUAUGGAUGUCAUGCUAUGGUUGCGUACAAGGGUUCAAUAGCAAAAUCUCAAAUUUGACAGAUAAGAAAAAAAUGUUAUUUUUUGAUGUAUUUGGGCACAUAGUGGCCAAA